GGGGAUAUAAUUCAAUUGGUAGAAUUUAUGUUUUGCAAAUAUACUGUUAUCGGUUCGAGUCCGAUUAUCUCCA
rfam:Saprolegnia parasitica CBS 223.65 mitochondrial scaffold supercont2.1443, whole genome shotgun sequence.